rnacentral:lncRNA from 1 species
UGCUGGGCUCUAAAUGCAGGAGCAGCAGGUACUUGCCAACCUCCUGCUGCUAAAGUUCGUGGUCUCUGUUCUCCCACAUGCUCAUCCAAAUGUUAAUUUUAUGGACACCUUUAUAAAUCUUGAAGCUUUCCCCUGUCCCCAGGCUACAUAGAUUUCAUCUUAUUGAGAGGUGACACUUCUGGCCUUUGGUACCAGCCUAUAUUGAUAUUAAUACCCUGAGACUCAUAAAAAACGUGGGACCGUAUUAAUUCAUGAUUACUCUGCUGCUCCUUUCUGUACCUCUUUCUGUGCCAUCUGAAAUCCUAGGAUGUUGAGUAACUGCCUCAGCUGCUGGCAGAGCCACAGGCUUGGGACAGCAACAAGCAGAGCCAGCCUCCCAGCUAGAAUAACUACAUGGUUUCUAAAUUGUGAGCUGCUCUUCUCCUGCUUGCCAAGAAGAUGGAGGUUCAUGAUCACCUUUCUGUUAGAUCUGGCAAUCUGGAGAAAAGCUUGUAUCCCACCUCUGAGACCCUUCCAUGUGUUCUGAACAGAGGACACCUGCAAGUCUGCCAGCCACACAGUGUAUUGAUUUGCCAGGCUGAAAGGAAAGGCAUUUCUCUGCUCACUGUGAGACAGCCUUGCUGUCGACAAGCCUGGAAGAACAUGUUUAGGUCAUUCCAUCAAUGUAAAGGUUAAAUGUUUAGCUGCAGCUAUUGAAAACAAAGCAACUGCAGCAGCAGCAGCAGCAACAACAGCAGCAAAAGAAUUGGAUGGAUUUAAGAGUCAAUGUCUGGAUUUAAGAUUUGCAUCUAAGCACUCAGCAGGUGUAGUGCACUGGUUCUCACUGGACAGAGCUGCCUCGCAGCACUUCUUCCCCUGUGAGCAGCGGUGCAACGGCUCAGCCCUGCUCCACCCCAGCUCACAGCUUUGCAACAUGCAUCACUGGACUCAAAUUUUUGCCUGGGGAUUUUGAAGAAGCUCUGAUGUUUUAAGGCAUGGCCAUACAAUUUCUGCUCUCUCUGCUGAUUAAGAGGGCCUCUUUAUAUUGUAGCUGUACUUUUAGCCGCUCAUGCUCUGUGAGAAUGCCAGUGACCUACUCGAAGAGUUAUCUGAAUACAGGUCUUUUGUUAAGUAAA